rnacentral:lncRNA from 1 species
GUAUUUCAGAAAGGGAAUCGAACUGUUCCGGAAAAUAUUAGCAAAAAUUUUAAUUUGACAAAAAACUGAAAUUGGGUGUUCUCAAGUUGUUCAAUCUUCUAUUUUUUACAUGUAUUCUAUAUGUGGGACUCAUGAAAAUUCUGUUAUUUCAUUUUGUGAAGUCCCUAAUAAGGAUCUCCUGUCAUGGACAUCAUUUAUUACUAAGUUCUGCUGUUAAUGAACUUGAGUGAAAUAUUUAUAUUGCAUAUAUGUUAUUAGUUGCAUUGUGUUUAGUCUACUAUUAGCCAUAUGAACUGCAUUUCAAUUCUUUUAUGUGCAACUUUUCUAUUUCAAUUCUUUAUUGUUAGGUAGUAAUUUUUGUGAAUUGUUUAUCUUCAUCCUAUCCUUUUUUUAAUUCAGUAACAUAACAGCGAGAAAAUUAACUAAAAUCAAUUAGUCCAUGUUCCUAGCCUCUUAAUUUGCAAGGAUAAUUUCUUGUUUUGUAUGAGCUGCUAUAAAUGCACAUUGUGAUUGUGAGAGGCGACCUUAACUUAAAACAACAUGGACCGAUUCAAACCUUGUCCGAAUUAUAAAAAAGUAAGUGUGUUAGGGUUUCAAUUUUUUUAUAUAUCUGUUUCAUUCUAUUUACUUGCACAUAAAAUUGAAAUCUUCUUUGAUUACAGAGGAAUGCUUGUCAAUUUUUUGCGUGGUAUGAUCCUCCAAUGAUUCCCGGAUUACUUCGAAAGAUUAACGGAAUAGAGCAAGAGAUGGAGAAAAUGCGUGCAAUAGGAAAAAUGCGAAUAAAAAAUUUAUUACUGCACUUGUUUGUUCUUGGUUAUUGAUUUUAAUCAUGUUAUUGUAGAUGGAGUAAAUAUUGUAAUUUGAGUUAACUUCUAGAAUCUGUAAAGAUAGUUUUGUCUUUGUAUUGUUAGAAGUGGUGAUAUUAGCAUUAACAUCAAUUUAUGGCCAAUUCAUGGUGAUAUCUAGUUCUAUACAUGGAGUAAUAUAUCUAGUUCAAUUCCUGGCCAAUGUUGCUUCUAUGAACUUUAAUCCAGUAUAAAGUUGGUGCAAGUGAAUCUGCUUUGCACCAUGGCCUUGGCACUUUGAUCUAAUUGGUUUAAAGAAAUAAAUAUAGAUAGAUAGAUA